UACGGAGGAUGCAAGCGUUAUCCGGAUUCAUUGGGUUUAAAGGGUGCGUAGGCGGACUAUUAAGUCAGUGGUGAAAGCCUGCAGCUUAACUGCAGAACUGCCAUUGAUACUGAUAGUCUUGAGUUUGGUUAAGGUAGGCGGAAUGUGUAAUGUAGCGGUGAAAUGCUUAGAUAUUACACAGAACACCAAUUGCGUAGGCAGCUUACUAAUCCAUCAUUGACGCUGAGGCACGAAAGCGUGGGGAUCAAACA
rnacentral:rRNA from 1 species